GAGCGGCGGACGGGUGAGUAAUGCCUAGAGAAAUUGCCCUGAUGUGGGGGAUAACCAUUGGAAACGAUGGCUAAUACCGCAUAAUGCCUACGGGCCAAAGAGGGGGACCUUCGGGCCUCUCGCGUCAGGAUAUGCCUAGGUGGGAUUAUCUAUGUUGGUGAGGUAAUGGCUCACCAAGGCGACGAUCCCUAUCUGGUCUGAGAGGAUGAUCACCCACACUGGAACUGAGACACGGUCCAGACUCCUACGGGAGGCAGCAGUGGGGAAUAUUGCACAAUGGGCGCAAGCCUGAUGCAACCAUGCCGCGUGUGUGAAGAAGGCCUUCGGGUUGUAAAGCACUUUCAGUCGUGAGGAAGGUGGUGUAGUUAAUAGCAGUAUCAUUUGACGUUAGCGACAGAAGAAGCACCGGCUAACUCCGUGCCAGCAGCCGCGGUAAUACGGAGGGUGCGAGCGUUAAUCGGAAUUACUGGGCGUAAAGCGCAUGCACGUGGUUUGUUAAGUCAGAUGUGAAAGCCCGGGGCUCAACCUCGGAAUAGCAUUUGAAACUGGCAGACUAGAGUACUGUAGAGGGGGGUAGAAUUUCAGGUGUAGCGGUGAAAUGCGUAGAGAUCUGAAGGAAUACCGGUGGCGAAGGCGGCCCCCUGGACAGAUACUGACACUCAGAUGCGAAAGCGUGGGGAGCAAACAGGAUUAGAUACCCUGGUAGUCCACGCCGUAAACGAUGUCUACUUGGAGGUUGUGGCCUUGAGCCGUGGCUUUCGGAGCUAACGCGUUAAGUAGACCGCCUGGGGAGUACGGUCGCAAGAUUAAAACUCAAAUGAAUUGACGGGGGCCCGCACAAGCGGUGGAGCAUGUGGUUUAAUUCGAUGCAACGCGAAGAACCUUACCUACUCUUGACAUCCAGAGAACUUUCCAGAGAUGGAUUGGUGCCUUCGGGAACUCUGAGACAGGUGCUGCAUGGCUGUCGUCAGCUCGUGUUGUGAAAUGUUGGGUUAAGUCCCGCAACGAGCGCAACCCUUAUCCUUGUUUGCCAGCGAGUAAUGUCGGGAACUCCAGGGAGACUGCCGGUGAUAAACCGGAGGAAGGUGGGGACGACGUCAAGUCAUCAUGGCCCUUACGAGUAGGGCUACACACGUGCUACAAUGGCGCAUACAGAGGGCAGCAAGCUAGCGAUAGUGAGCGAAUCCCAAAAAGUGCGUCGUAGUCCGGAUUGGAGUCUGCAACUCGACUCCAUGAAGUCGGAAUCGCUAGUAAUCGUGGAUCAGAAUGCCACCGGUGAAUACGUUCCCGGGCCUUGUACACACCGCCCGUCACACCAUGGGAGUGGG
rnacentral:rRNA from 1 species